rnacentral:tRNA from 1 species
GGGCACUUAGCUCAGUGGCAGAGCACUGCGUUCACAUCGCAGGGGUCGCAGGUUCAAAUCCUGCAGUGCCCA